rnacentral:rRNA from 1 species
GUUGUUUAGUUUUUGUGGGCAUUCGGUGGAUGCCUUGGCACCAAGAGCUGAUGAAGGACGUUGUGGCCUGCGAUAUGCCUCGGGGAGUUGGCGAACGAGCGUUUGAUCCGAGGAUUUCCGAAUGGGGGAACCUAGCUGCAGUUGUGUGUAGUUACCAUCAUCUGAAGUUCAUAGGGUGGUGGGGGGAACGCGGGGAAGUGAAACAUCUCAGUACCCGUAGGAGAAGAUAUUCCGUGAGUAGUGGCGAGCGAAAGCGGAGGAGGCUAAACCUUGUGUGUGUGAGAGCCGGCAGGCGUUGCGCAUGGGGUGUUGUGGGGCAUGAUCGUUUCUCCUCUGCCGGGGAGUGGCAUGUUUGCAGGUGUGAGGUGAACAGUAUGGGAUGGCUGACCGUAGUGCGUGAGAGUCGUGUAGCCGUUUGCGCCUGUUGAGUGUGUGGGUUGUGUGCCCGAGUAGCGCCGGACUCGUGAAAUCUGGUGUGAAUCUGCCAGGACCACCUGGUAAGCCUAAAUACUACUUGGUGACCGAUAGUGCAUAGUACCGUGAGGGAAUGGUGAAAAGUACCCCGGGAGGGGAGUGAAAUAGUACCUGAAACCGUGUGCCUUUAAGCCGUCAGAGCCUUGUGGGGUGAUGGCGUGCCUUUUGAAGAAUGAGCCUGCGAGUCAGUGGCACGUGGCGUGCUUAACCCGUGUGGGGUAUGCGUAGCGAAAGCGAGUCUGAAAUAGGGCGUUUGUCGCGUGUUCUGGACCCGAAGCGGGGUGAUCUACCCAUGGCCAGGUUGAAGCAAGGGUAAGACUUUGUGGAGGACCGAACCCACCAGGGUUGAAAACCUGGGGGAUGAGCUGUGGGUAGGGGUGAAAGGCCAAUCAAACUCCGUGAUAGCUGGUUCUCCCCGAAAUGCAUUUAGGUGCAGCGUUAUGUGCUUCCUGCUGGAGGUAGAGCUACUGGAUGGUCGAUGGGCCCUGUGGGUUACUGACGUCAGCCAAACUCCGAAUGCCAGUAGGUGUGAGCAUGGCAGUGAGACAGCGGGGGAUAAGCUUCGUUGUCGAGAGGGAAACAGCCCAGAUCAUCAGCUAAGGCCCCUAAGCGUACGCUAAGUGGGAAAGGAUGUGGAAUCGCGUUGACAACCAGGAGGUUGGCUUAGAAGCAGCCAUCCUUGAAAGAGUGCGUAAUAGCUCACUGGUCAAGUGGUUUUGCGCCGACAAUGUAGCGGGGCUCAAGCGUACCGCCGAAGCUGUGGCACUUACACAUGUAACCGUCAGGAGCGUGAUCUUCUGGGGGUGUGUGGGUGGGUAGGGGAGCGUCCUGCGUGCGGUGAAGCCUGGGGGUGACCUCUGGUGGAGCGUGUGGGAGUGAGAAUGCAGGCAUGAGUAGCGAAUCUAGGGUGAGAAUCCCUAGCGCCGAUUGACUAAGGGUUCCAGGGCUAGGUUUAUCCGCCCUGGGUUAGUCGGGUCCUAAGGCGAGGCCGACAGGCGUAGUCGAUGGAUAACCAGUUGAUAUUCUGGUACCGCCUUUCAACCGCCAAGACUGAAUCUCUUGUACUAACCACUUUGCCUCAAUACCGUCUUCACUUUCGGGUGUUGGUGGUGGAGGGGCCGUGGGACCUUGAGGGUAGUAGGUGAGCGUGUUAACAGGGGUGACGCAGAGAGGUAGCUGUCGCACACUGGUGGAUAUGUGUGUCUAAGGUCGUGGCCCGUUUCCUAGGCAAAUCCGGGAGACAUGUGGGUGAGAACUGAUGGGGCUGCCCUUAUGGGUGGCUGAUGGUGAUCCUGUACUGCCAAGAAAAGCCUCGACGUGAGGGUGGAAGGCGCCCGUACCCUAAACCGACUCAGGUGGUCAGGUAGAGUAUACCGAGGCGUUCGAGUGAAUCAUGGUCAAGGAACUCGGCAAAAUUCCCCCGUAACUUAGGGAGAAGGGGGACCCCCGACGGUUCCACCACUACGCGUGGUGGUUGCGGUUGGGGGUCGCAGAGAAGAGGGAGAAGCGACUGUUUACUAAAAACACAGGUGCGUGCGAAGUCGCAAGACGAUGUAUACGCACUGACGCCUGCCCGGUGCUGGAAGGUUAAGAGGAAGACUCAACCGCACGUUGUGUGGUGAAGGUUUGAAUUUAAGCCCCAGUAAACGGCGGUGGUAACUAUAACCAUCCUAAGGUAGCGAAAUUCCUUGUCGGGUAAGUUCCGACCUGCACGAAUGGCGUAACGACUUCUCCGCUGUCUCGACCGUGAACUCGGCGAAAUUGCACUACGAGUAAAGAUGCUCGUUUCGCGCAGAAGGACGGAAAGACCCCGGGACCUUUACUAUAGCUUGGUAUUGGUGUUCGCUUGUGCUUGUGUAGGAUAGGUGGGAGACUGUGAAGCCUGGGCGCCAGCUUGGGUGGAGUCGUCGUUGAAAUACCAUUCUGGUGCAAGUGUGCAUCUAACCUCGGCCCGUAAUCCGGGUUGGGGACAGUGCCUGGUGGGUAGUUUAACUGGGGCGGUUGCCUCCUAAAAAGUAACGGAGGCGCUCAAAGGUUCCCUCAGCCUGGUUGGUAAUCAGGUGGCGAGUGCAAGUGCACAAGGGAGCUUGACUGUGAGACCGACGGGUCGAGCAGGUGCGAAAGCAGGAACUAGUGAUCCGGCCAUGGCACGUGGGUGCGUGGUCGCUCAACGGAUAAAAGGUACCCCGGGGAUAACAGGCUGAUCUUGCCCAAGAGUCCAUAUCGACGGCAUGGUUUGGCACCUCGAUGUCGGCUCGUCGCAUCCUGGGGCUGGAGUUGGUCCCAAGGGUUGGGCUGUUCGCCCAUUAAAGCGGUACGCGAGCUGGGUUUAGAACGUCGUGAGACAGUUCGGUCCCUAUCCUCUGUGCGCGCAGGAAACUUGAGAAGGGCCGUCCCUAGUACGAGAGGACCGGGAUGGACGAACCUCUGGUGUGCCAGUUGUACCGCCAGGUGCAUGGCUGGUUGGCUACGUUCGGAAAAGAUAACCGCUGAAAGCAUCUAAGCGGGAAACUUGCUUCAAGAUGAGGUUUCCAACACCCCCCGCGGGUGUGAAGGCCCCCGGCAGACUACCGGGUUGAUAGGCCAGAAGUGGAAGCACCGCGAGGUGCUCUUGAGCUGACUGGUACUAAUUGGCCAACACUAAACACACAC